rnacentral:ncRNA from 1 species
CCGGAUGGAAAUCGGAGUGGUCCUGUAAAGGGUAAAGCCGGCUUUACUGCAAGGCGGAUGUGCCGCGCAGUUGGGAAACCAGAACUUAGUGAACCGAUCCUUUUUAUUAGAAAAGGGAAAGAUCAUCAACCAAAAGUUACCCCGGGGAUAACAGGCUAGUAGAGCCCGCGAGUUCAUAUCAACGGCUCUGUUCGGCACCUCGAUGUCGGCUAACAACUCUUGAUUGGCCGCUUCCCGAGUAAUCGGGAUGACAAAAUUCAGCUAAUAACGGUGGAGCCCAUUGUUUUCUAUGGUAAAAUAGAGUAAUGGGGAAUACCGUGGGAAGUCAAAGAAAACUUACAAAACGCCAAAAAGAUAUCCUUAUCGGGAUGUUGCUUGGCGAUGGCUGUUUAGAAAAGAACGGCAGAAAUGUUCGCUUGAGGAUUGAACAUGGAUUAAGCCAAAAAGAUUAUUUAGAUUGGAAAUAUAGAGAAUUCCAGAACUUAGCUACAGAUAAACCCAGAAUUGUUCAAUCAUUCCAUGCCAAAACAAGAAAGAAUUAUCCAAGAUGGCAUUUCUCUACAUUUUCUUUUCCUGAAUUGAACAUUUAUCGAUGUAAGUUUUAUUCUCAAAAAGUAAGGAAAAUUCCAAAAGAUAUUCCGAGAUUGCUUAAAUCACCUCUGUCUUUAGCCGUUUGGUUUAUGGACGAUGGUUAUAAGAGGAAUGACUGUAACGCGUUAAGGAUUAGCACGGAUUGUUUUGACCACAAGGGUCAGAAACUAUUACAGCGGUGCUUAAAAAGAAAUUUUAAGAUAGAUACUAAAAUCCAUAGAAAAGGAAAAUUUUGGAAUAUUUAUAUCCCUAAUUCAGCGGUAAGAAAAUUCUGCGAUAGGGUGAAACCUUAUAUUCUUCCUAAAAUGAGAUAUAAAAUUUCUUUGACCCCGUAACGACUGAGGCCUUACGGCCGAGAUAGUGGCUUUUAAACCAUUAUCACACGCUGACCCCUAUUUUAAAGAAAUAGGGAGAUGAUAUAGUCUAUACUUCAAGUAAUUGAAGAACAAUAUGCAUCACAUCCUGGAGGUGAAGAAGCUUCCAAGGGUUCUGCUGUUCGCAGAUUAAAGUGAUACGCGAGUUGGGUUCAAACCGUCAACCAAAACUUGUUUCUGUUAGCAAGUUCGGCGGCUUCCGAUAGCAAUGUCGGAAUGAAAAAAUCGACUAAUAUCGGUGAAUUCCUAUUUUGACUUUCAACCUGUCAUCUAUUAGGAUAACACCGAGGCAACUUCAAUUUUAUUGAAGAAGCCGUAGAGACUUUCUGCUUUCGGGCAGAGGAUGGGAGAUAACCUUCCAUAAUACGUCGAUCUUCCAUUAAAACAUCUAAAAAGUUUUGAUGGAAAGUGAUAUAGUCCAUACACUUAGUAAUAGGUGAAGAAUAUGCGUGAGACAGGUUGGUCUCUAUCUACUGUAGGCGACGAGUCUUGAGGGGAGUUGGCCUCUGUACGAGAGGAUCAGGCUGAACUAACCUCUGGUAUACCAGUUGUUCCGCCAGGAACAUGGCUGGAUAGCUAAGUUGGGCAGGGAUAAGAGCUGAAAGCAUCUAAGCUCGAAACCCACUCCAAGAUUAAGACUCAUUAAGACCGCUCAAAGACUAUGAGCUUGAUAGGCUUCAGGUGUAAGCGCAGUAAUGCGUUAAGCCGAGAAGUACUAAUGGUCAAUUUUAUACUUUUU